GGGUCCGCACAAGCGGUGGAGCAUGUGGUUUAAUUCGAUGAUACGCGAAGAACCUUACCUGGGCUCUAAUGCGAGUGACCGCUCCUGAAAGGGAGCUUUCCUUCGGGACACGAAGCAAGGUGCUGCAUGGUUGUCGUCAGCUCGUGCCGUGAGUGUUGGGUUAAGUCCCGCAACGAGCGCAACCCCGUAUCUUUAGUUGCCAGCGAUUCGGUCGGGGACUCUAGAGAGACUGCCUGCGCAAGCAGAGAGGAAGGCGGGGACGACGUCAAAUCAUCAUGGCCUUUAUGGGCUGGGCUACACACGUGCUACAAUGGCAGUGACAGAGGGACGCUAACCAGGUGACUGG
rnacentral:rRNA from 1 species